UUGACGGGGCCCGCACAAGCGGUGGAGCAUGUUGGUUUAAUUCGAAGCAACGCGAAGUAACCUUACCAGGUCUUGACAUCCCGAUGCUAUUUCUAGAGAUAGAAAGUUACUUCGGUACAUCGGUGACAGGUGGUGCAUGGUUGUCGUCAGCUCGUGUCGUGAGAUGUUGGGUUAAGUCCCGCAACGAGCGCAACCCCUAUUGUUAGUUGCCAUCAUUCAGUUGGGCACUCUAGCGAGACUGCCGGUAAUAAACCGGAGGAAGGUGGGGAUGACGUCAAAUCAUCAUGCCCCUUAUGACCUGGGCUACACACGUGCUACAAUGGUUGGUACAACGAGUUGCGAGUCGGUGACGGCGAGCUAAUCUCUUAAAGCCAAUCUCAGUUCGGAUUGUAGGCUGCAACUCGCCUACAUGAAGUCGGAAUCGCUAGUAAUCGCGGAUCAGCACGCCGCGGUGAAUACGUUCCCGGGCCUU
rnacentral:rRNA from 1 species